rnacentral:rRNA from 1 species
GACGAACGCUGGCGGCGUGCUUAACACAUGCAAGUCGAGCGGUAAGGCCCUUUCGGGGGUACACGAGCGGCGAACGGGUGAGUAACGCGUGGGAAUCUCCCCAGAGGUACGGAACAACUCAGGGAAACUUGAGCUAAUACCGUAUGUGCCCGAGAGGGCAAAGAUUCAUCGCCUUUGGAUGAGCCCGCGUUGGAUUAGCUAGUUGGUGGGGUAACGGCCUACCAAGGCUACGAUCCAUAGCUGAUCUGAGAGGAUGAUCAGCCACACUGGGACUGAGACACGGCCCAGACUCCUACGGGAGGCAGCGUAGGGUAGGGUACUUCGGUACGAACUAAGGUCGGGCCGAACGAACCGUCCGUAGUACCUACCGACCGAACCU